rnacentral:rRNA from 1 species
CCUACGGGCGGCAGCAGUGGGGAAUAUUGGACAAUGGGGGGAACCCUGAUCCAGCCAUGCCGCGUGUGUGAAGAAGGCCCUCGGGUUGUAAAGCACUUUCAGUGAGGAAGAACGCCUGGUGGUUAAUACCCAUCAGGAAAGACAUCACUCACAGAAGAAGCACCGGCUAACUCCGUGCCAGCAGCCGCGGUAAUACGGAGGGUGCGAGCGUUAAUCGGAAUUACUGGGCGUAAAGCGCGCGUAGGUGGCUUGAUAAGCCGGUUGUGAAAGCCCCGGGCUCAACCUGGGAACGGCAUCCGGAACUGUCAAGCUAGAGUGCAGGAGAGGAAGGUAGAAUUCCCGGUGUAGCGGUGAAAUGCGUAGAGAUCGGGAGGAAUACCAGUGGCGAAGGCGGCCUUCUGGACUGACACUGACACUGAGGUGCGAAAGCGUGGGUAGCAAACAGGAUUAGAUACCCCAGUAGUC